rnacentral:rRNA from 1 species
UGGGGAAUAUUGCACAAUGGGCGCAAGCCUGAUGCAGCGACGCCGCGUGAGGGAUGGAGGCCUUCGGGUUGUAAACCUCUUUCGCCAGUGAAGCAGGCCAUCUUCUUUGUGGGGUGGUUGACGGUAGCUGGAUAAGAAGCGCCGGCUAACUACGUGCCAGCAGCCGCGGUAAUACGUAGGGCGCGAGCGUUGUCCGGAAUUAUUGGGCGUAAAGAGCUCGUAGGCGGCUGGUCGCGUCUGUCGUGAAAUCCCCUGGCUUAACUGGGGGCUUGCGGUGGGUACGGGCCGGCUUGAGUGCGGUAGGGGAGACUGGAAUUCCUGGUGUAGCGGUGGAAUGCGCAGAUAUCAGGAGGAACACCGGUGGCGAAGGCGAGUCUCUGGGCCGUUACUGACGCUGAGGAGCGAAAGCGUGGGGAGCGAACAGG